rnacentral:misc_RNA from 1 species
GCUAAUUGAUUUGUUCCACAAGAAAUAUGCACAUUCUCUUAUAGUUGGAGUGGGAUUAAUGGUAUUGCAACAAUUUGGAGGGGUGAAUGCUAUUGCAUAUUAUGCAAGUUCUAUUUUUGAGUCAGCUGGUUUUUCUGGUAGGGUUGGUUCAAUUGCAAUGGUAGUUGUACAGAUCCCAAUGCAAGUUUUAGGAGUACUGUUGAUGGAUAAAUCAGGAAGGCGUCCACUACUUAUGGUAUCUGCUGCAGGGACAUGCUUGGGUUGUUUCCUUGUAGGAUCGUCAUUCUUACUACAGGAUCUUCAACUUUGGAAGUCUAGCCCCUUUUUGGCACUUGUUGGCAUACUGGUCUUUACUGGAUCGUUCUCAUUAGGCAUGGGAGGUAUACCGUGGGUAAUUAUGUCUGAGAUAUUUCCCAUAAAUGUCAAAGGUUUAGCUGGAAGCUUAGUGACAGUAAUCAACUGGUUUGGUUCUUGGAUCGUCUCAUAUUCGUUCAACUUUCUUAUGCUAUGGAGCUCUGAAGGAACAUUCUUCAUAUUUUCAGCAGUCUGUGGUGUAACUGUUAUGUUUGUGGCAAAGCUGGUUCCAGAGACCAAAGGCCGUACCUUGGAAGAAAUACAAUCCUCCAUGACAUGACCAAUGAAUUCUAAUGAUUUAUUAUGUAAGAAACUGAGGGUCUUUGGAUCGGCUUAAAAGAUGGUCAAACCUAUUUAAAGUCA